rnacentral:rRNA from 1 species
GACAGAGGUGCCGAGCGUUAGGCGGAAUCACUGGGCUUAAAGCGUGUGCAGGCGGAUGGGUAAGUACCUUGUGAAAUCCCACGGCUCAACCGUGGAACUGCUCGGUAUACUGCUCGUCUUGAGCCAACUAGGGGCGACCGGAACAAACGGUGGAGCGGUGAAAUGCGUAGAUAUCGUUUGGAACGCCGAUGGUGAAAACAGGUCGCUGGGGUUGUGCUGACGCUGAGACACGAAAGCCAGGGGAGCGAACGGG